rnacentral:rRNA from 1 species
AUUGAACGCUGGCGGCAUGCUUUACACAUGCAAGUCGAACGGCAGCGCGGGGCAACCUGGCGGCGAGUGGCGAACGGGUGAGUAAUAUAUCGGAACGUACCCAAGAGUGGGGGAUAACGUAGCGAAAGUUACGCUAAUACCGCAUACGAUCUAAGGAUGAAAGUGGGGGAUUCGCAAGAACCUCAUGCUCCUGGAGCGGCCGAUAUCUGAUUAGCUAGUUGGUGAGGUAGAGGCUCACCAAGGCUACGAUCAGUAGCUGGUCUGAGAGGACGACCAGCCACACUGGAACUGAGACACGGUCCAGACUCCUACGGGAGGCAGCAGUGGGGAAUUUUGGACAAUGGGCGCAAGCCUGAUCCAGCAAUGCCGCGUGAGUGAAGAAGGCCUUCGGGUUGUAAAGCUCUUUUGUCAGGGAAAGAACGGUGGGAGCUAAUAUCUCCUACUAAUGACGGUACCUGGAGAAAUAGCACCGGGCUACUACAUGCCAGCAGCCGCGGUAAUACGUAAGGUGCAAGCGUUAAUCGGAAUUACUGGGCGUAAAGCGUGCGCGGCGGUUUUGUAGUCUGAUGUGAAAUCCCCGGGCUCAACCUGGGAAUUGCAUUGGAGACUGCAAGGCUAGAAUCUGGCAGAGGGGGGUAGAAUUCCACGUGUAGCAGUGAAAUGCGUAGAGAUGUGGAGGAACACCGAUGGCGAAGGCAGCCCCCUGGGUCAAGAUUGACGCUCAUGCACGAAAGCAUGGGGAGCAAACAGGAUUAGAUACCCUGGUAGUCCACGCCCUAAACGAUGUCUACUAGUUGUCGGGUUUUAAUUAACUUGGUAACGCAGCUAACGCGUGAAGUAGACCGCCUGGGGAGUACGGUCGCAAGAUUAAAACUCAAAGGAAUUGACGGGGACCCGCACAAGCGGUGGAUGAUGUGGAUUAAUUCGAUGCAACGCGAAAAACCUUACCUACCCUUGACAUGUACGGAAGCCACGAGAGAUCGAGGUGUGCUCGAAAGAGAGCCGUAACACAGGUGCUGCAUGGCUGUCGUCAGCUCGUGUCGUGAGAUGUUGGGUUAAGUCCCGCAACGAGCGCAACCCUUGUCAUUAGUUGCUACGAAAGAGCACUCUAAUGAGACUGCCGGUGACAAACCGGAGGAAGGUGGGGAUGACGUCAAGUCCUCAUGGCCCUUAUGGGUAGGGCUUCACACGUCAUACAAUGGUACAUACAGAGGGCCGCCAACCCGCGAGGGGGAGCUAAUCCCAGAAAGUGUAUCGUAGUCCGGAUUGUAGUCUGCAACUCGACUACAUGAAGUUGGAAUCGCUAGUAAUCGCGGAUCAGCAUGUCGCGGUGAAUACGUUCCCGGGUCU